UACGGGGGGAGCAAGCGUUGUUCGGAUUUACUGGGCGUAAAGGGCGCGUAGGCGGUCAGUGCAAGUCAGUUGUGAAAUCUCCGGGCUUAACUCGGAACGGUCAACUGAUACUGCUCGACUAGAGUGCGGAAGGGGCAACUGGAAUUCUUGGUGUAGCGGUGAAAUGCGUAGAUAUCAGGAGGAACACCGGUGGCGAAAGCGCUCAUCUGGCCCAAUACUGACGCUGAGGCGCGAAAGCUAGGGGAGCAAACGGG
rnacentral:rRNA from 1 species